rnacentral:lncRNA from 1 species
AGGAAUUCAACAGACAAAGAAGAGGAAGGAUUUUACUGGCAUGGAGAAUAAUAUUAUCAGAGUCAAAAGAAACUGAAACUCUUUGUCCUGGAUUCACUUAUCAAAAUAAUUCAACCACUUGGUCCCUUUGAGACUUUAGCAAUCCACACUUGUGGAAAAUAAAGUGAAAUAAAACAUAGGAAGAUCGAGCCUCAGGCAGUGGAAGGGAGCAAGUCGUCAUGACUAUGAGGAUGGACAGAAUGGCCAAAGCCCACUGCUACUCUCACAGGAUUUCUAGGCAGUCCAGAGGUUUGGAGUUCCAUGAAGAGUCUUGCCUAAG